rnacentral:miRNA from 1 species
CCUCUCUUCCCAAAACUUAACAGGACCUGCUGUGGUGGCACGGAGUCAGCUAGGUGUUGUAUCUUGCUAUCCCUGUGCUAGUUCCAUGUUUUAGGAGCAAGUGAUGCUGGGGAGGAGAGG